AUUUUGUAUGUAGAGUGCCUCUCGAUAGAGGCCACCAGACCGAGCAACUCCAAACAGUAGCCACGGUGGUUAGAAUCGCAAGAUUCCAUACGUAGGAGACAACCUAAAAAAUGGAGGUGCCC
rnacentral:ncRNA from 10 species